ACUUUAUCAUUGAAUUAUGUUUUAAGAAAAUUACAAUUUUACCCAAGGAAUAAGGAAUAUUAAAGUAUUUAGGGCGGGAAAAAUUUCUCCAAGGGCGAAACCCAAACCCAAAUCGGAAACCACCUGCUAACCGCCGGGAAGCACCGCCAUGGCGACCAUCUCCCUCCGAAAAGGCAACACGAGGCUGCCGCCGGAGGUGAACCGGGUCCUCUAAGUCCGCAACCUGCCAAUCAACAUCUCCAGCGAGGAGAUGUACGACAUCUUCGGCAAGUACGGUGCCAUCCGCCAGAUCCAAAUCGGCACCAACAAGGACACGCGCGGCACCGCCUUCGUUGUCUACGAGGACAUCUACGAUGCCAAGACCGCCGUCGACGACCUCUCCGGCUUCAACGUCGCCAAUCGGUACCUCAUUGUUCUCUACCAUCAGCAGGCCAAGAUGAGCAAGAAGUUCGAUCAGAAGAAGAAGGAGGACAAGCUCGCUAAGAUGCAGGAGAAGUACGGCGUCUCUCUCAACAAAGAUAAGUAGUUUGUGAGGAUUCUGAAUUUCAUGGAGCUUUGGAUUUGUUCACAAUUGGAACUUGUAUGCUGAAUUGUCAAUUAAAGCCCUUAUGCUUGUGGAUGGGGGUGGAUUUAUGGAUUCGAUUACUUGUAAACUGUUAAUUUAUGACCUAUUGUUGUUGUUUUAUUGGUACAGGAUUCUCUAAAGGAAACUUUUAAUCAGCAACCUUUCUUUUAUACGAGUUUCAUGCAUUGACAAAAGGUGGUAAAAUGGAAUGUUUCAGGUUUUCACAUGAAUGGAUGUUUGCAGGUAUGGGUUUAAGAUGUAUUUGGUUUUGGGCUUUCUUCUUCUGACUUUUUGUAUUAAGGAAGGAUUUUUCAGGGUCUUUACCUUUUAAGUCCUAAUUUUAGAUCAGGAUGGUGAUCCCUUUUCAAGUGUAAGGGAUAUAUGGAAUCUUGGUUUGGUUUGCAAAUCUUAUGCAUUUCUGUCUCUAGAGAUAAUUUAUCAGGAUAGAUGGUGCUGUUUAUUUGGGAUUUUUUUGACAUGAGAACCAAUUUCUCCUUUUUUAUUUAUGUUUUUCAUGCUUUUUCUGUUUAUUGUUUUGGUGAAGGUUGUAUUAUUCUGGAAAUUUUGGUUUUUAUUGUUGCUUUAUUGUACUGAUUCCUCUCCAUGGCUUUCAUCUUUUAAAGAAUUCAAUUCAGUAUCAAGUGUUGGAUCCUCAAUCCAAAGGUAAGCUUCCUUGCUUGGGAAGCUUCAUGGGGGAAAGUUCUAACAUUGGACCAAAUUCAAAAGAGGGGUUGAGCUUCAGCAAAUAGAUGUUAUUUUUGCCAAGCAUAUGAGGAGUCCAUUGAUCAUCUUCUUUUCCAUUGCGAAAAGACAAGGGAUGUGUGGACGCUGUGCUUUACUUUGUUUAGAGUGUUUUGGGUGUUUUUGGGAAGCAGACCCUUUAUACUUGUUUUGAACAGUUUGGAAGGCAAGGAAUAGAAAUGCCUUUAAAGAUGGUGUGCUGUACAGCCAAAGGCUGAAAGCUUCUUUUGUAUAUUUAUUGUGGUGGGAGACUAAAUUGUUUAUAAAAGAUGAUGGUCCUUCGACGUUAA